rnacentral:rRNA from 1 species
AACGAACGCUGGCGGCAUGCCUAACACAUGCAAGUCGAACGAGACCUUCGGGUCUAGUGGCGCACGGGUGCGUAACGCGUGGGAACCUGCCCUUAGGUUCGGAAUAACUCCCCGAAAGGGGUGCUAAUACCGGAUAAUGUCUUCGGACCAAAGAUUUAUCGCCUUUGGAUGGGCCCGCGUUGGAUUAGCUAGUUGGUAGGGUAAAAGCCUACCAAGGCGACGAUCCAUAGCUGGUCUGAGAGGAUGAUCAGCCACACUGGGACUGAGACACGGCCCAGACUCCUACGGGAGGCAGCAGUGGGGAAUAUUGGACAAUGGGCGAAAGCCUGAUCCAGCAAUGCCGCGUGAGUGAUGAAGGCCUUAGGGUUGUAAAGCUCUUUUACCCGGGAUGUUAAUGACAGUACCGGGAGAAUAAGCGCCGGCUAACUCCGUG